UGGAGACCCUCUGAGCUGAUCUCGUGAC
rnacentral:piRNA from 1 species